rnacentral:lncRNA from 1 species
CCGAAACUGAUGCGCGAGCCUCUGAACCACAAGAAAACAUCCUCCAUGGUCACUUCUCCCAAGAGAUCGCCUGCAAAGAUCUUAUUCGAAUGAUUGAUGGAACGUUUGUCAUAAGCAUAAAGGUCAAGUCUUGUCACUAGCAUGGAGGCCCUGCACAAGCAAUAAGUGCGCCGUAAGCUAGCAAGUCAAGUCCCAUGCCUAAGAACAGACGUUUGAACUAAGGAGAUGAGGCCACGUGCCACUUCAUCCAAGGGCUCCCAUUCCAUAUGUAUCACUAUAAAUACCCCCAUUGUUUAAUGUCAAAGGCUAAUGCAAGAAUCAAUACUAAA